ensembl:lncRNA
GAUCGGGAUGUGCUGGAGGAGCAGGCUUUUGUUGACGGGUUUUAUGGUUUCUUUUGGAGGCUUGAAGGCCUCCGGUCCAUGUGCGAGGGGGAGGAGUGUUGGAGAAGAAGACGGUGGAAGAGCAAGUGGACUGGGGGGAAAGUGCCCUGGUGGAAGAGAUGAGGGGUAUGGUGGAGGAGCUGGCGGGGGGGGAGGGUGGUAUCUCUCCACUGCCGCCAUCACCAAAGAAGAGAAUGAAGAGGAGGGUGCGAUUGGCCGACAGUGAGAGGGAGGGGAUGGCCAAGAGAGUGAUGGGGGUGGGAGAAACCUCUGGGUUGCUGCUGGUUUCCCCAGGCCCUCAACUUCUGUUGGGUGGGGACACACAUAACAAGACUCAAGACUGGGUACAGGAGGAGGUGGGGAGUUUUUUGUUUGGGGACUCCCCGAUUUUUUUCCAAACCAGCUGCAGCACUGGGGAGGGGGAGGAG